rnacentral:rRNA from 1 species
GACGAACGCUGGCGGCGUGCUUAACACAUGCAAGUCGAACGGAAAGGCCCUGCUUUUGUGGGGUGCUCGAGUGGCGAACGGGUGAGUAACACGUGAGUAACCUGCCCUUGACUUUGGGAUAACUUCAGGAAACUGGGGCUAAUACCGGAUAGGAGCUCCUGCUGCAUGGUGGGGGUUGGAAAGUUUCGGCGGUUGGGGAUGGACUCGCGGCUUAUCAGCUUGUUGGUGGGGUAGUGGCUUACCAAGGCUUUGACGGGUAGCCGGCCUGAGAGGGUGACCGGCCACAUUGGGACUGAGAUACGGCCCAGACUCCUACGGGAGGCAGCAGUGGGGAAUAUUGCACAAUGGGCGGAAGUCUGAUGCAGCAACGCCGCGUGCGGGAUGACGGCCUUCGGGUUGUAAACCGCUUUCGCCUGGGACGAAGCGUGAGUGACGGUAAUGGGUAAAGAAGCACCGGCUAACUACG